GAUGAACGCUGGCGGCGUGCUUAACACAUGCAGGUCGAACGGAAAGGCCGAAGCUUGCUUCGGUACUCGAGUGGCGAACGGGUGAGUAACACGUGGGUGAUCUGCCCUGUACUUCGGGAUAAGCUUGGGAAACUGGGUCUAAUACCGGAUAUGACAAUCUCUUGGAUGGGGUUGUGGAAAGCUUUUGCGGUAUGGGAUGAGCUCGCGGCCUAUCAGCUUGUUGGUGGGGUAAUGGCCUACCAAGGCGUCGACGGGUAGCCGGCCUGAGAGGGUGUACGGCCACAUUGGGACUGAGAUACGGCCCAGACUCCUACGGGAGGCAGCAGUGGGGAAUAUUGCACAAUGGGCGCAAGCCUGAUGCAGCGACGCCGCGUGGGGGAUGACGGCCUUCGGGUUGUAAACUCCUUUCGCAACCGACGAAGCUUUUGUGACGGUAGGUUGAGAAGAAGCACCGGCUAACUACGUG
rnacentral:rRNA from 1 species